rnacentral:rRNA from 1 species
GUCCACGCCGUAAACGAUGUCAACUAGCCGUUGGAAUCCUUGAGAUUUUAGUGGCGCAGCUAACGCAUUAAGUUGACCGCCUGGGGAGUACGGCCGCAAGGUUAAAACUCAAAUGAAUUGACGGGGGCCCGCACAAGCGGUGGAGCAUGUGGUUUAAUUCGAAGCAACGCGAAGAACCUUACCAGGCCUUGACAUGCAGAGAACUUUCCAGAGAUGGAUUGGUGCCUUCGGGAACUCUGACACAGGUGCUGCAUGGCUGUCGU